rnacentral:rRNA from 1 species
UUUAGUGGAGAGUUUGAUCCUGGCUCAGGACGAACGCUGGCGGCGUGCCUAACACAUGCAAGUCGAGCGGGGAUAUAUGCUGGAGC